rnacentral:rRNA from 1 species
UACGAAGGGGGCGAGCGUUGUUCGGAAUCACUGGGCGUAAAGCGUGCGUAGGCUGUUUUACAAGUUGGGAGUGAAAGCCCAGGGCUUAACCCUGGAAUUGCUCUCAAAACUGUAAGACUCGAAUCUCGGAGAGGAUAGCGGAAUUUCCAGUGUAGUAGUGAAAUACGUAGAUAUUGGAAGGAACACCAGUGGCGUAAGCGGCUAUCUGGACGAGUAUUGACGCUGAGGCACGAAAGCGUGGGGAUCAAACAGG